rnacentral:rRNA from 1 species
GAUGAACGCUGGCGGCGUGCCUAAUACAUGCAAGUCGAGCGAACGGACGAGAAGCUUGCUUCUCUGAUGUUAGCGGCGGACGGGUGAGUAACACGUGGAUAACCUACCUAUAAGACUGGUAUAACUUCGGGAAACCGGAUCUAAUACCGGAUGAUAUUUUGAACCGCAUGGUUCAAAAGUGAAAGACGGUCUUGCGGUCACUUAUAGAUGGAUCCGCGCUGCAUUAGCUAGUUGGUAAGGUAACGGCUUACCAAGGCAACGAUGCAUAGCCGACCUGAGAGGGUGAUCGGCCACACUGGAACUGAGACACGGUCCAGACUCCUACGGGAGGCAGCAGUAGGGAAUCUUCCGCAAUGGGCGAAAGCCUGACGGAGCAACGCCGCGUGAGUGAUGAAGGUCUUCGGAUCGUAAAACUCUGUUAUUAGGGAAGAACAUAUGUGUACGUAACUGUGCACAUCUUGACGGUACCUAAUCAGAAAGCCACGGCUAACUACGUG